GACGAACGCUGGCGGCGUGCUUAACACAUGCAAGUCGAACGGAAAGGCCUUUUCGGCGGUACUCGAGUGGCGAACGGGUGAGUAACACGUGGGUGAUCUGCCCUGCACUCUGGGAUAAGCCUGGGAAACUGGGUCUAAUACCGGAUAGGACCGCACUUUAGUGUGUGUGGUGGAAAGUUUUUUCGGUGUAGGAUGAGCCCGCGGCCUAUCAGCUUGUUGGUGGGGUAAUGGCCUACCAAGGCGGCGACGGGUAGCCGGACUGAGAGGUUGGUCGGCCACAUUGGGACUGAGAUACGGCCCAGACUCCUACGGGAGGCAGCAGUGGGGAAUAUUGCACAAGGGGCGCAAGCCUGAUGCAGCGACGCCGCGGGGGGGAGGACGGCCUUCGGGUUGUAAACUCCUUUCGCCAGGGACGAAGCGUUUUGUGACGGUACCUGGAGAAGAAGCACCGGCUAACUACGUG
rnacentral:rRNA from 1 species